UGAAACUCCACGAAAGGAAACUUGAUAGAUUUAAGUAUAGCCAUUUGUACAUUCCUUUUCACAUUGGUCCACAAACGAGAUUGUCAAAGCUCCAGUUGCAACCCCCAACCCUAUGAUAAUAUCGAUGCUGUUCGGGCAAAUCGAUGCGAUGCCUUCUGAGAAGCGAAAACAAUAAACGAAAUACCGACAAAAAAUAAGCACCAGCCACAAAAUGUGCCGAAUUCCAAUGAAAAUACUAAGUAAACAAAAAAUAGUUGACAAAAGAUUAUACGGUAUAGAAAUGGUAUACGGGUAUUUAAUCGUAAUUUACGGCCAGUAUCGGCGGAGGAGACGGAGACCCCUGUCAAAAGCUUAAAGACUGCAAUUGAUUGUCGUCGAAGCUGAACAACUACCACUAUGUGUACUCGAUAGAUAUGUAUGUAUGUAUAUCCAUGACAUCUACAGUCAUUGAAAGGGUAUUUAUUAUUCUGUGCCUACAUACCUUGGGAGCUAUGGCCAUCUAUUUUAUCAACGUAUUUCCGGUUUACCCAGCGUAUGAGUGGGCAUAUAAUAUCGGAUUAAUAGCCUGCUGUGUACAGUUAUCUUCUUGAUCUCACUUUCGGAUCGUUUUUGGUAUAAUUCAAUCGAUCAAUUAUAAUUGAUAAUUAUCUGGAAGUAUCCACAAUCAAGAUGCACAGAUAACAGGACUGGAAAACUGUGACGAGCAAUCUUUGAUUUUAAUGUUUAAAUUAGUUAAAUAUAUUCAAUCGUCUGUUGAUUUCGAUUAUACAAAUCUUUCGGCCUCGACAUAUAGUAGAUAUCUGUGAUCUUAAUGAAGAUUUAAAUGAAUGCAUCCACACGAAACAUUUUUGGCAUUUUUGAGCUCAAGGGAAAGAUCAAGUUGAAAAUUCUUCUCUGAUGAGCACCGCAUGCUUUUAGUAGUAGCACUUCCCGGAAAUUUGUGCUAUUUUUUCGUAACAUGACGAACAAAAUAAAUAGGUCAGAAGAGUCGGUGGCGGCGGGGGAAAAUAGAACCGGAAAUGACAUAAAAAUUGCUCAUGUUGUAGCAGUACAACGACAAUAUGUGUCAUAGUCACUUGUAACGCGGAGCCAAAACCACCUGCCAUCAAAAUCUACAAGGAAUCGUGAUUGAGUGGAGAUUAUUUUUUCGGAGUAAUAUCUACGAUAUGGCCGGGGAUUUACUAACAGUCACUAAUCCCUUAAGAGUUCUAGGAAAUUUUUUAACUAAUAAAUUGAAACGAACUUUG